GUGCAAUACGAAGCUGAUUUUCGGCCAAAUAUGAGCAUUGUGGUAAAAGCUCUACAACCUCUUUUGCACGCUCGACCUGCACCUAGUGAAACAUCAAACUUGUGAUUCUCUCCUUUGCCGCAGCCGCUACCAAAUGGAAUGACAGUGAUUGAGAUUUGUUUUGUUGAGUUGAAAAUGAUAUUAUACUAGUAGUUAUCUGGGUAAAUAGCAGACAUAAUGUGCUUUCCCCCCUUCUUUUACUGGUCUCAAUUGAAUGUGAAUAAAUUUAUACAUGUACUAAUGAAAGUAGCCUUUGCCUAUUCUUUUAAUGGAUAUUAUUCUUGAGGUCUUGAAUAUCCUUGUAUCAGUUAAGUGGAGAUGAUCACUAUGAUAAAA
rnacentral:misc_RNA from 1 species